UGUGUGGCUCAGUGGUAGAGCACUUGCCUAGCAUGCAGGAGGCCCUGGGUUUCAUCUCUAGUACA
rnacentral:tRNA from 1 species